rnacentral:rRNA from 1 species
GAGGACUCCAUCAUCUGGAACCUGACUUCCAAUGGGAUGUACUCUUCCGCGACCGCGUCCGUGGCACAGUUCCAUGGUUCUCACCCCAAGUUCAACACCGACAAUAUCUGGUCCGCUCAUGCUGAGCCUAAGUGCAAGUUCUUCGCCUUGCUCGUUCUUCACGGCAGAAUCCUCAUAGCUGAUAUGCUGGCUAUUCGUGGAUGGCCGCAUGACCCAACAUGCCAGCUUUGCCUUCAGGCUCUGGAAACGGCAACCCACCUUUGCAAGGACUGCCCUUUUGCAGUCGCCGUCUGGAACAACGUGUCUGCCUAG